CAAUUACUCCCUCCGUUCGGAAUUACUUGUCACAAAAAUGGAUAAAAAUGGAUGUAUCUACAACUAAAAUACACGUAGAUACAUUCAUUUCUUGGACGAGUAAUUUCGAACAGAGGGAGUAUUAG
rfam:Triticum aestivum genome assembly, contig: Triticum_aestivum_CS42_TGACv1_scaffold_407572_5BL